GAACGAACGCUGGCGGCGCGCUUAACACAUGCAAGUCGAACGAGAAGGCGUAGCAAGUACGCUUGUACAGUGGCGAACGGGUGAGUAAUACGUGGGCGACCUACCCUCGAGUGGGGAAUAACCCGCCGAAAGGCGGGCUAAUGCCGCGUACGCUUCCAUCUUUAUGGAGGUGGAAGGAAAGCCGUGGCCGUGGGCACGGCGCUCAAGGAUGGGCUCACGUCCUAUCAGCUUGUUGGAGGGUAACGGCCUACCAAGGCUCCGACGGGUAGCUGGUCUGAGAGGACGAUCAGCCACACUGGCACUGCGACACGGGCCAGAC
rnacentral:rRNA from 1 species